rnacentral:snRNA from 1 species
AUAUUGUUUAAGCCCGGGAGGCAGAGGUUGCAGUGAACUGAGAUCGUGCCACUGCACUCCAGCCUGGGCAACAAAG